GACGAACGCUGGCGGCGUGCUUAACACAUGCAAGUCGAACGAAGUGGCGAACGGGUUAGUACUACGUGGGUAACCUGCCCUCCUUUUUGGGAUAAGCCUUGGAAACGGGGUCUAAUACCGAAUACAGGGGGAUGGGCUCGCGGCCUCUCAGCUUGUUGGUGGGGUGAUGGCCUAGCACGGCGGUGACGGGUAGCCGGCUUGAGCGGGUGACAGGCCAAAUUGGGACUGAGACACGGCCCAGACUCCGACGGGAGGCAGCAGUGGGGAAUCUUCCGCAAUGGAAGAAAGUCUGACGGAGCAACGCCGAGGGAGUGAGGACGGCCUGCGGGUUGUAAAGAUCUGUGAAUCGGGACGCGGUACCGGAAUAGAAAGCCACGGCUAACUACGUGCCAGCAGCCGCGGUAAUAC
rnacentral:rRNA from 1 species